UCGACAUAGAAGGCCACCUGGUCCGGAGCCGGGUUGUUAACCCGACCCUCAGCCCCAGGGGCGAAGAGCUCGAACUGCUCCGGGAUACUGUAUUGCUCCCUGAGCCGUUCAACGUUUGACCCUGAAUGUGAAGAAACCUCCACCUCCGGGGUCGACCGUAAGUCGUCGGUCGGGUUCUUCGACUGACUUUCUCGUGGGGAGGUUCUAGCCAUGACACUAGCCCCAGAAAGGAGAACAAAAGAAAAUGGCGAGGA
rnacentral:lncRNA from 1 species